CUUGGUCAUUUAGAGGAAGUAAAAGUCGUAACAAGGUUUCCGUAGGUGAACCUGCGGAAGGAUCAUUACAAGUGAGGCUACCGAACGUUGGAAACAGCGGUUAGGAGCUUACACCCACCCGUGUUUACAUACUAUUGUUGCUUUGGCGGGCCGUGGCCUCCACUGCGGGCUCUGCUCGUGUGUGCCCGCCAGAGAACCAAACUCUGAAUGUUAGUGAUGUCUGAGUACUAUCUAAUAGUUAAAACUUUCAACAACGGAUCUCUUGGUUCUGGCAUCGAUGAAGAACGCAGCGAAAUGCGAUAAGUAAUGUGAAUUGCAGAAUUCAGUGAAUCAUCGAAUCUUUGAACGCACAUUGCGCCCUGUGGUAUUCCGCAGGGCAUGCCUGUUCGAGCGUCAUUUAACCACUCACGCCUAGCGUGGUAUUGGGGCACGCGGUCUCCGCGGCCCUCAAAAUCAGUGGCGGCGCCGGUGGGCUCUAAGCGUAGUACAUACUCCCGCUAUAGAGUUCCCCCCGGUGGCUCGCCAGAACCCCCAAUUUUUUACAGGUUGACCUCGGAUCAGGUAGGGAUACCCGCUGAACUUAAGCAUAUCAAUAAGCGGAGGA
rnacentral:rRNA from 1 species